CCCUUAGAUGUUCUGGGCCGCACGCGUGCUACACUGAUGCAUUCAACGAGUCUAAAACCUGGUCUGAUAGGGCUGGGUAAUCUUUUGAAAGUGCAUCGUGAUUGGGAUAGAUGAUUGCAAUUCUUCAUCUUCAACGAGGAAUGCCUAGUAAACGCAAGUCAUCAGCUUGCAUUGAUUACGUCCCUGCCCUUUGUACACACCGCCCGUCGCUCCUACCGAUUGAAUGAUCCGAUGAAUACCAUGGAUUGAGAGUACGAAUAGGUUCGCUUAUUUCCGCUGCUCGAGAAGUGGAGUAAAUCUUAUCAUUUAGAGGAAGGAGAAGUCGUAACA
rnacentral:rRNA from 1 species